ACUACGGGAGGCAGCAGUGGGGAAUAUUGGACAAUGGGCGAAAGCCUGAUGGAGCAACGCCGCGUGCAGGAUGAAGGCCUUCGGGUUGUAAACUGCUUUUAUAAGCGAGAAAUAUGAUGGUAACUUAUGAAUAAGGAUAGGCUAACUACGUGCCAGCAGCCGCGGUCAUACGUAGGAUCCGAGCAUUAUCCGGAGUGACUGGGUGUAAAGAGUUGCGUAGGUGGCAUAAUAAGUAGCUAGUGAAAUCUGGUGGCUCAACCAUUCAGACUAUUAGCUAAAAUGUUAAGCUCGAAACCGUUAGGGGUAACGGGAAUGUCUAGUGUAGGAGUGAAAUCCGUAGAUAUUAGAAGGAACACCAAUAGCGUAGGCAGGUUACUGGGACGGUUCUGACACUAAGGCACGAAAGCGUAGGGAGCAAACGGGAUUAGAUACCCUUGUAGUC
rnacentral:rRNA from 1 species